GUAAAAGGAGUUAGCACCGUGUCAGGAGUGAAGUACUUCGGCACAGGAACUAAACUGGUAGUCACAGAUACUACCCCACAAUUGAAUGAUCCCAUCCAGUUUUACCCAACUUCACUAGAGCGGAAACAACAGAAUACGGAAACCUAUGUUUGCCUCUUCAAGGAUUUUUUCCCUGAUGUUAUCAGAAUGCAUUGGAAGGAAGAGGGGAGUGAUAAGAUCUUGGAGUCCCAGCAGAGUGACCCAUUGCCAGUGAAUGGCAAGUACUGGCAGAUGAGCUGGUUGACUGUUAAGAAAUCGCCGCCGGGGAAGAUUUACAGAUUGAUAUACAAACAUGAGAAGACUGGUCCGGCAGGAAAGGAAGAGCUAUUUCCAGCACCAGCUCCUGAGCCCAUCGCUUCUACAGAAGCCUCUAUUACGGUCAAAACUCAUCGCUCCACCGUUGCCCCUACAGCCGAGGAAGACUGCACCAAUGUUCGAGAUCAUCUACCCGGGGGUAAGUCUCUCUCUGCUCUAAGUUGUGGCCCAGUUAAACAAGAUUUGCAGUUUGUGAACACAACUGCCUUUUACACCUACACCAUCCUUCUGCUCAAGAGCACCUUGUAUUGUGUCUUCAUGCUGUUCUUCACAUACAAAAGGGCCACGAGCAGUGGCAAGGGGAGAGGAUCAGCCCGAUGACAACAGGGGGUCAACAGGAUUUUUCAGGACCACAUGCACAGCUUCUCUCCAGACCUGCAAAUGGAUGUUUGAUAUGUGUUAUUUUUGUUGCGAUUACAAGUAGUUCUUCUACAUAAUCACCAGGCAGAGGUUUAUUUUAUAAUUAUGUUUAUAAUUUUAUUUUUAAACAGUAGAAAAAUGAAUGAGGUUGUAAAAAACACUCUUUCAUUGAUAUUGUUUUUAAUAUUCUGGGCUUAGUUUUAGAUUUAUCUCUCAUUUUCUUUAUCAUUCUAUCUAUUCACAAAAAUAAAAACACCACCAUUCCUGCUAUCAACA